rnacentral:lncRNA from 1 species
CAACGAUUUCUAUCUGCUUUCAAUGUGUUGUUGUUCUAAUCAGCCAUUAACUGCUAACCUUUCAUUUCCUUUGUUGAAAAUGUAAGCAAUGAUUUUCUUUUGAUUGGUUUGAAGAUAUCGGUUGACUUUUGAAUAAGCCGUUCAGUAAUGAAAUAUUCUGAUGCCAACUUUCCCUAUUCAUACGCAUUUAGAAGGUCGCACAAUAGUUCCGAAGAAGCAACAGUACCCGAGGACAAUCCAGAUAACUGCUCAGAUGUUUUAAAUGGAUUUGUCCAGCUUUGCAGUGUCUGAACCUAUUUUUAAAACGUCAGUUUCAUCUCGCUUCAUUCGAGUUUUCCUAAGUUUGUUUUCUGCGGAUGUUUCAGUGUUAACCAUUCCUGCCAAAUCCCGACAUUUUGACGAUAUUGAGGCUCUAUCAUGUGCAUUUAACAAAACAACGUUUAACAGAACCUUUAUUUAAACUGAAACCAACAAUGCCACCUCUUGUUUUGGUAUCUCUGUUCAACGUUUGCUCGAUUGUUGGGUCAACUGAAGAUCUAGAAAAUCUCUGAACACAAAAACCACCAGAUGAAAUAUAUACAUGAGCAUCAGGAUGGGUAUUUGGCAAAUUUUGCAUAUGAAGCAAAUGGAAUGACGUGUAUCGGGAAGGGUUUUGACGGCCAUAUGCAAAGAACCAUGGUGACAUUUUUUCAGUACAUGCCAAAUGAAGAUCCCAAUUACCUCCCCUGUUGCACUUGUAAACAACAAUACAAGUUCCAUCAUUUAUAGGUUAGGUUUCAAAAAUUCGGCCGAUUUUGCAUAAGAAGCAAAUACACUGACAUGUACAGAUAGAGAUCAACAAACUGAAUGCGAACAAAGCAACAAAAUUAGUUGACAGUAUGUACAAAAUUUAUAAAACGAGAGUAAAUUCAUUUAAUACUGAAGCAAAAUAUACAAGUAAAUAGGAAAAAAAAAUAAUGAAAAAUAAAGUUGAGAAUUGAAAUGGGGAAUGUGUCAAAGAGACAACAACCCGACCAUAGAGCAGACAACAGCAGAAGGUCACCAACAGGACUUCAAUGCAACGAGAAAUUCCCGCACCCGGAGGCGUCCUUCAGCUGGCCCCUUAACAAAUAUAUACAAGUUCAGUGAUAAUGAACGCCAUACUAAACUCCAAAUAGUACACAAGAAACUAAAAGUUAAAAUCAUAGAAGACUAACAAAGGCCAGAGGCUGCUGACUUGGGACAGGCGCAAAAGUGCGGCGGGGUUAAACAUGUUUGUGAGAUCUCAACCCUCCCCUAUACCUCUAGCCAAUGCAGAAAAGUAAAUGCAUAACAAUAAGCACAUUAAAAUUCAGUUCAAGAGAAGUCCGAGUCUGAUGUCAGAAGAUGUAACCAAAGAAAAUAAACAAAAUGACAAUAAUACAUAAAUAACAUCAGACUACUAGCAGUUAACUGACAAGCUAGGUCCAGACUUCAAUUAAACUGAUUAAAAAAUUAUGUCUUCAUCAUAUGAAUAUUAGGCACAAUCCUCCCGUGAGGGGUUUAGUAUCAUACCAUCAUAACAUAUAUGAGAAGAACAUAACCCGUGUCAUGUCAACAACUGGUUUAUUAAUAAUAAAUGUGUUUAGUUCCGAUGCAAAGACCCUAUAAGUGAAUCAAUAUUAACGCCAAAAUAUGCAAUCUUUAAUGACCUGACAACAGUAUCGUAACUAUAUCCC